UGGGGGAUAUUGCACAAUGGGCGAAAGCCUGAUGCAGCGACGCCGCGUGGGGGAUGAAGGCUUUCGGGUUGUAAACCUCUUUCGCUAUCGAACAAGGCCCGCUUAGGGUGGGUUGAGGGUAGGUGGAGAAGAAGCGCCGGCUAACUACGUGCCAGCAGCCGCGGUAAUACGUAGGGCGCGAGCGUUGUCCGGAAUUAUUGGGCGUAAAGGGCUUGUAGGCGGCUUGUUGCGCCUGCUGUGAAAACGCGGGGCUUAACUUCGCGCGUGCAGUGGGUACGGGCAGGCUUGAGUGUGGUAGGGGUGACUGGAAUUCCAUGUGUAGCGGUGGAAUGCGCAGAUAUCUGGAGGAACACCGAUGGCGAAGGCAGGUCACUGGGCCAUUACUGACGCUGAGGAGCGAAAGCAUGGGUAGCGAACAGG
rnacentral:rRNA from 1 species